UCCUGCUUGCUGCCUCGAGGCUGGGAGACGUCCUGGCGCUCCCUCGCGCUCGCCACGACCCCCUCCUCACUCUCCCCAACUCACCCUCUCUCUCUAACGCGAAACGCAAACGAGACCAAACCCUAGUCCCACUGUCGUCGUCUAUCUCCGCCGCUCCGGCCAUCCCCAAGCCCGGCCGACACGCCCCGAAGCUCCGCCUAGCCACCACGAGUCUCCUGGUCGAAGGAAUUUGAUGCCACUCUUCCCCAAUCGACGGCAACGAGCCCGUCCGCCUGAAGUCCGGCCGCCGGCAACCAAUGUCGAUCUCGUUGCUCCGGCCUUCUUCGAGCUCGCCGUCGCCUCCAUAGCGCACAGGAGCAACUGUCCGAGAUGAUGAAGAUCAGCAACGACGCAACUCAAUGUCCAACGAUGAACAAGUCAAGCAUGGGAUCUCUGAAGAUCCAUAUCGGUUUGUCAGGGACAAAGGCAAGCCCUAGCCUGGUUCAUAUUAUGAUUUCGAAAUGAUUUUACUUCUGGUUCCUACAUAUUGCAUUCGUUCCUAAUAUGUUUUAUCGGCAGGUAUAGUUAUCCUAUGUGUUGCAUUUACCAUCCUUGUAGCCUAAAUACUCUGAUCCACUGCUCCCAGCAAGACUAGGUCUGAGCUAUGUGUGCAUCGCUAGAGCUGUUAUAUCGAAUAUGCUUAGCCAUGCUUAGUUGACGAAUCCUGAUCCAUCCGGUUGAUGAAUCAGAGCUGCCAAUGAACCUAGUAUGGCAGGAUGACAUGGUAAGAUCAGUGAUGAUAAUUAAACAUGUUUAAAGGCUUGGAUGGGCCGCCAGAUGGGGAUGUGGUGAUUUGACUCGUUCUCGCCGAUACUAGGACCUGAGGUUCUCGCCUUCGGAACCAAGACUAAGCGUACAGCCACACGGGGCCCAUGGGAACCCCUUGGCCCAAACUUGCCUAGCUUACCCAUGAGUCAAUUAGAUUGCGAGUUCCAUUUGGCAUUCUGCAUGGCGAAGACGUGGAAAAGGUUUUCAAAGGUGCAUCAUACAGGGACGUGGCUAGGGUGAAGGAUGCUGGAGGCAUUGAACUGGAUCCCCUGCGCACAAUGACCGGGACCGCCUUGGAGAAUGGCUACCUACGAUGAUGGAGUUCCCCAGUUAGAUUGACUGAUGGAAUAGGCGAAGCAAGGGAAAGAUUUUGGUCGACCACCCUCUGCCGGCACACCAAGUGUGUAACGUACAGCGCUAAGAGUCGGUUGGCGCGUGUGGGUAAAGUUGUACACCCCUGCAGGGUAAAUCUCUUCGAAAAUCCGUGUCCACGGUUACGGACGACUUGGUGAUGGAUUAUGUGAUCAUAGACAACAUGAACCUAAUCGUAAAAAUUGGAAUCAAAUGUGUGAAUAAGGAUCCCUCCUCAGGGUAUCGAGGGGGUGAUCCUAGUUGAUAGGUUCAGGUAAUGAUGAAGAUUCGGUGGAUUCAAUAUGAUGAUUAGUAGAGCUAUAGAUAUCGCUCUCUCAUCCCCCUUUUAAAAUGAUCUGAAUAGACGAGCUUCUGCUCCCUCUUAUUUAUAAAGGAAAUCUGGCUUUCCGCAAAAUAAGCUCCACAUAAAGCCUCGCAUACCAGCUUUGCUAAAAGGUUGUACUAAGUCUUGCUGAGUCCCUGUACUCAGCUUUGCAUGCUUUGUUUCAGACGAAGUCACUUCAACAAAUGAAGGUUUCUAGGUCGACAUCGACGAGUAGCUUGGGAUUCCCAGGUGGCAGCCUGGAAUCUAUGGGCUGGGACAUCGCCGUUAUGCUCCUAGCCUCUUAGGCCUUUUGAUAUCCUGCUAUUUAGAAUAGCAAAACUUCGCUUCCGUUGGUUGAUGAAAUGUUAGGUCAGUGACAUCUACUUGUAAUACUUAGGUUCUUUGCUCAGUUAUGAGCUUGUAUUACUCUUUGAAUCGUAAAGUCAUUGUUGGGUUACUGAUUCUCACCCUGUAGGCCCUAGAGAUCUAGGUUAGGCUUAUGCCAGAUGGAGAUCUGGGUUUGUCUAGCCCCGACCUACAGGGGAUCGACAAAAAUUACAUAAAUAAAACAUGGGUUAUCUCCCAAGAGUGUUUUUAACGCCUUUUAGCUAGGCGCAGAAAGCUUGAAUCAAGUAUUUUCAAGUGAAGAAGCAUCAAGAUCGUAACUUGUCCUAAUAAUAGAAUCAAAAUGUAACCUCUUUCUCUUUCUUGGGAAAUAUUCCAUACCUUUCUUGAGUGGGAGUUAAUAUUUAAUAAUCCCAUCUCUCAUAUCAAUAGGAGCACCAAUAGUUCUAAGAAAAGGUCUUCCCAAAACAAAAGGACAAGAAGCAUUGCAUUCAAUAUCCCAAACAAUAAAAUCAACAUGAAUAAAUUUAUUAUUAACCAUAAUAAAAACAUUAUUAACUAUCCCCAAAGGUUUAUUCUUAGCAAUAUCAGCAAAAUGAACAUCCAAAUAACAUUGUUCAAAAGGUGGCAAAUCAAGCAUAUCAUAAAUUUCUAGGCAUAACAGAGAUGCUCGCACCAAGAUCACAUAAAGCAUUGCAAUCAAAGUCAUUCACUUUCAUCUUAAUGAUGGUCUGCCAACCAUCUUCUAACUGCCUAAGAAUAGAAGCUUCAUGUUUUAAAUUCUCUUCUCUAAUUUGUAUGAGAGCAUUUGUAAUAUGUUUUUUAAAAGCCAUAUGUAUAGCACUAGUGAAAGAACAUGGAGCUCCCAUGUGUGGUUUUGGUAAUUGAUGACAAUCUCUAUGGACUAACGAUUGUAUUGAGAAUCUAUCUUAGGUCGUGUCCAUAGCCAUAUGAUGGUCUCAAGGUUGCGACAUGGAGAAGAUCGAGUACAAUGAAGAAGACGGACGAAGACGGUGUCGAAGGGAGAUGAAGACGAUGUAGAAGAUGAAGAGAGAUGAAGAGAGAUGAAGACGGUGUCGAAGAUGGAUGAAGACGGUGGCGUGCAUACAAGAUGGAUGAAGAUGGUGGUGUGUAUGUUGGAGGAAGACGGUGGCAUGUACAACGUUGAAGAGAGAUGAAGACGGAGCUUGCCGACUCGAGUGGAACGCGCAAGGACAAGGUUUGUGCUCGAUAGCAUAGUGGGUCACAUCAUCGGAGAGAGCUCAAACCUUGCAUGCAUUGCAUCGUGUUUCUUGGUUGUUCUUGGUCCUUAUCCAUGAGAUGGUUUAGAGCUUGUGUUCAUUCUCACGACAAGCUCUAGCUCAUCGGAAACGGAUUUGGGAUGCAUCGCAUGUUGCAUGUGCCAGAGUGAUGAUUUUCCUGAUA